CAGACCUCAAAUUCUAGACAUUCUUCUUUGCUUAUCACAUUCGUUUCCUGUUCCAAGACUAUAUAAAGCACAUGGUUUCUCAUUCUUUUUGUGAAGUCUUGCUGAGUGUCCUAAUUUAUGUUACAGCCACAAACUCCAGCUCCCCGAAUUCACCUCCGCAGAGUAAUAUGGCCGAGUCCACAUCCAUUUCCCAUCAGCGCCAUGGACUGCAAACCAGGAGAGUUCAAAACACCUACGCAGAUCAGACAGGGUCACGGGCACCCAAGGCUCAUUGAUGUGCGUGCGGAGUGAAGGUUGGCCGUUUUUUCUGAUCCCACAGAAGAGCUACUGUAGCAUUCAUUGCUGAAAAGUUAGUGCUGGUUAUGAUAGAAAGGUGUCAGGACACACAGUGCAUCGCAGCUUGAUGCGUAUGGGGCUGCGUAGCCGUAGACUGGUCAGAGUGCCCAUGCUGACCCCUGUCCACUGCCAAAAGUACCUACAAUGGGCACGUGAGCAUCAGAACUGGACCGUGAAGCAAUGGAAGAAGGUGGCCUGGUCUGAUGAAUCAUGUUUUUCAUGUGGAUGGCUGGGUGUGUGUGUGUUGCUUACCUGUGGAAGAGAUGGCACCAGGAUGCACUAUGGGAAGAAGGCAAGCCGUUUAUACUGAAACAUCCUCCUUUUAUAAUCCCGAUUUUCAUCUUAAUCAAACUAGCCUUAUUUGUCUUAUUUGAGU